rnacentral:lncRNA from 8 species
UGCUCUACAUUCACCUCACUGCAUUUGGCCCAUUUUAGCAGCUUGUCAGGGUUCCUGUUAACAGGUCUCUGUGAGUCUCAUUUCAGCAGCUUGUCUCUGUCAGGGUUCCUGUUAACAGGUCUCUGUGAGUCUCAUUUCAGCAGCUUGUCUCUGUCAGGGCUCCUGUUAACAGGUCUCUGUGAGUCUCGUUUCAGCAGCUUGUCUCUGUCAGGGCUCCUGUUAACAGGUCCCUGUGAGUCUCAUUUCAGCAGCUUGUCUCUGUCAGGGCUCCUGUUAACAGGUCUCUGUGAGUCUCAUUUCAGCAGCUUGUCUCUGUCAGGGCUCCUGUUAACAGGUCUCUGUGAGUCUCAUUUCAGCAGCUUGUCUCUGUCAGGGUUCCUGUUAACAUGUCUCUGUGAGUCUCAUUUCAGCAGCUUGUCUCUGUCAGGGUUCCUGUUAACAGGUCUCUGUGAGUCUCGUUUCAGCAGCUUGUCUCUGUCAGGGCUCCUGUUAACAGGUCUCUGUGAGUCUCAUUUCAGCAGCUUGUCUCUGUCAGGGCUCCUGUUAACAGGUCUCUGUGAGUCUCAUUUCAGCAGCUUGUCUCUGUCAGGGCUCCUGUUAACAGGUCUCUGUGAGUCUCAUUUCAGCAGCUUGUCUCUGUCAGGGCUCCUGUUAACAGGUCUCUGUGAGUCUCAUUUCAGCAGCUUGUCUCUGUCAGGGCUCCUGUUAACAGGUCUCUGUGAGUCUCAUUUCAGCAGCUUGUCUCUGUCAGGACUCCUGUUAACAGGUCUCUGUGAGUCUCAUUUCAGCAGCUUGUCUCUGUCAGGGCUCCUGUUAACAGGUCUCUGUGAGUCUCAUUUCAGCAGCUUGUCUCUGUCAGGGCUCCUGUUAACAGGUCUCUGUGAGUCUCAUUUCAGCAGCUUGUCUCUAUCAGGACUCCUGUUAACAGGUCUCUGUGAGUCUCAUUUCAGCAGCUUGUCUCUGUCAGGGCUCCUGUUAACAGGUCUCUGUGAGUCUCAUUUUAGCAGCUUGUCAGGGCUCCUGUUAACAGGUCUCUGUGAGUCUCAUUUCAGCAGCUUGUCUCUGUCAGGGCUCCUGUUAACAGGUCUCUGUGAGUCUCAUUUCAGCAGCUUGUCUCUGUCAGGAGUCCUGUUAACAGGUCUCUGUGAGUCUCAUUUCAGCAGCUUGUCUCUGUCAGGGCUCCUGUUAACAGGUCUCUGUGAGUCUCAUUUCAGCAGCUUGUCUCUGUCAGGGCUCCUGUUAACAGGUCUCUGUGAGUCUCGUUUCAGCAGCUUGUCUCUGUCAGGGCUCCUGUUAACAGGUCUCUGUGAGUCUCGUUUCAGCAGCUUGUCUCUGUCAGGGUUCCUGUUAACAGGACUCUGUGAGUCUCAUUUCAGCAGCUUGUCUCUGUCAGGGCUCCUGUUAACAGGUCUCUGUGAGUCUCAUUUCAGCAGCUUGUCUCUGUUUGAGUCUCUGACAGAGUUAAACAUGCAUUACAUCUGCAUAUCUGUCUAUGGGGGGGGAUUAGGAUUCUGUCUGUGUGUUGGUGAGAACUAUGACUGUGUUCAGUAUGUGGACAUGAAGAAUAAUGGAUGUUUCCACACAUGA